CGGGGGGAGCGCGGACCUGCCUUCCCCGCGCCGAGGAUCGGCUGGGGCCGCCGCCAGGCAAGGUGGCGUGAGGCGCUGGAGAGUUCGCCCCCGAGAGCGCUGGUGCCUCGGGCCGAGAUGCUCCUCCGGGACUUGGUGCUGCGCCGGGGCUGCUGCUGGCCUUCACUGCUGCUGCACUGCGCGCUCCACCCUCUCUGGGGCUUCGUGCAGGUGACGCAUGGUGAGCCCCAGAAGUCCUGCUCCAAGGUGACCGACAGCUGUCAACACAUCUGCCAGUGCCGACCCCCUCCCUUGCU